UUGGGGCCCAUGGGGCCAGAGUUGGCUAUCUGGAUGCUGAGGCCUCUAGCCUGUGGGGAGAUUGCAGGAUGCAGGACACUGCUGUAGACCAGACGAGUAUGUACGUACGCUAGUGACUACCUCACUAAGGACAGAAUGUGACUAUUUGUGCUGCUGCUCACCUUGGUGUUUUGCAGCCCAGCUCU
rfam:Cavia porcellus supercont2_73 genomic scaffold, whole genome shotgun sequence.